CGCAGCGUUUCUGACAACCAAUGCAUUUUCCAUUAUACUUGGUAGGAUCGAGCCUUACAACGUCUCCUGUCGACGAUGAGUUAAAAACGCAAGCAUCCUGGCUUCGGAAUCGCCAUAAAUGCGACGGAAGAUCGAGAAAUCGUAACACGACGGCGCAGAUAACCGAAAGGAACGAAGAGGAAGAAUAGAGAGGGGCGCGGAUCCGAAUAGAACCGAGCAGACUCGAGCAACGAGCUCGAGAGGCGAGAGGGAUCGAGGGUGGAGGUGGUAGCACCGCGGAAGGGGUAGCCUCUGCAGUGACGGAGGGUCGAGGGUGGGCAAUGACGUCACGCAAGAUGCAGCAGGGUGCAGCGAUGCAAGGGGAUGAAGCGAACUGGGCGGAACUGGGCCAGUGGGUCUCCGGCAGCCAUCUGCGAUUCGCUCAGCUACCUCGGUAUCCGCGACGCCUUGCAAUUUUCUGCAUUCUCGCGAAAAUCGUGUUUCACGCAGUAACCUGUGAAACGAGCCGCUGUGAACAGAAUUCAUCGCGUUUAUCGGAGAUUUCGUGAUAAUCGGCUAUCGUCGGU